rnacentral:rRNA from 1 species
UCAGUUUGCUUGCAAACUGGAGAUGGCGACCGGCGCACGGGUGAGUAACACGUAUCCAACCUGCCGAUAACUCGGGGAUAGCCUUUCGAAAGAAAGAUUAAUACCCGAUGGUAUAAUCAGACCGCAUGGUUUGAUUAUUAAAGAAUUUCGGUUAUCGAUGGGGAUGCGUUCCAUUAGGCAGUUGGUGAGGUAACGGCUCACCAAACCUUCGAUGGAUAGGGGUUCUGAGAGGAAGGUCCCCCACAUUGGAACUGAGACACGGUCCAAACUCCUACGGGAGGCAGCAGUGAGGAAUAUUGGUCAAUGGGCGCAGGCCUGAACCAGCCAAGUAGCGUGAAGGAUGACUGCCCUAUGGGUUGUAAACUUCUUUUAUAUGGGAAUAAAGUUUUCCACGUGUGGAAUUUUGUAUGUACCAUAUGAAUAAGGAUCGGCUAACUCCGUGCCAGCAGCCGCGGUAAUACGGAGGAUCCGAGCGUUAUCCGGAUUUAUUGGGUUUAAAGGGAGCGUAGGUGGACAGUUAAGUCAGUUGUGAAAGUUUGCGGCUCAACCGUAAAAUUGCAGUUGAUACUGGCUGUCUUGAGUACAGUAGAGGUGGGCGGAAUUCGUGGUGUAGCGGUGAAAUGCUUAGAUAUCACGAAGAACUCCGAUUGCGAAGGCAGCUCACUGGACUGCAACUGACACUGAUGCUCGA